GUGAAUUUAGUUUAAUAAAAAACAUUUACCCUGCAAGUAAAAAAAAAAAGUUUAAAUCCUUUAACUCACA
rnacentral:tRNA from 1 species